rnacentral:tmRNA from 1 species
GGGGACGAUUUUGGUUUCGACAGGGAUUUGAGUUUAAUAUGCAAAGCGCGUGGUGCGGCCAUACACCUUAAAAUGGGCAAAGCGAAUAAACGCAGAAAACAAUAACGUUGUUUCAUUUAAUAGUGCUGCAGUUGCUGCCUAACUUGAAGCGACAAACUUGAUUGAACUUUUUCAAUCUGCUCACCUUCUGAUUUGCCAUCAAAAGAAUUGAGUAUCAUCUUAGGCAAAAACUUUACGUUGAGUUGUCCUUGUAAAUGUAAAAAACUUUAAGGAAUUGUUUUUGAAAGUCUGUUUGUGGACUCCUUGAAAACGAAAAACAAACACAAACUACACGCGUAGAAAGAUAUUAGACAGAGUUCUUGGACGAGGGUUCAAUUCCCUCCGUCUCCACCA